UGAGUUACAGUUAGACGAUUUAUCGAGAAAUUCGUUACAAUAUAAUGUUCAUAUAUCAAAUUUUUUUUUGAACCUCUACUGUCCAUUUGGCACAGCAAUAUGUAAAAUUUGUUUACACCAUAGGCAAUAUAAUAUCUAUGGGUAUGAGGAAUGUUUGACAUUAAUUUAUAGCUGCCGCUUUUAUUUGGGGACGGCUUAGUGAUCGAACUCAAGACUUUGGGAAUGGAAAGUUUUUUUAGGGGACGUCUUUCUAAGUUACGUAGUACAUAGUACAUAUAAGUAAGUACGUUUUUGGAGUAAGCCAAUUGUGAUUGAUUUGUUUUAAAUUAAUAAUCUCAGACACAUACAAUUAAGAGUGACUGUAGAACAGACAGAAAAUGAUUAAGCAAACGCACACUGAGUUAUUAAAUAUUGUUGGAGAGUUAGAAACUCUUCCCGCAGAUACGUACACCGUUCAACAGGCAGUAAAUCUCUUAGGAUUUGGAUGGUUUCACGUUAAACUAUCACUUUUUGUUGGACUUUGUUGGAUGGCCGACUCUAUGGAAAUGACAAUACUUAGUAUUAUUGGACCAACAACGCAAUGCGAAUGGAACAUAUCUACUUACCAAAAAGCAUUUAUGACAACCAUUGUAUUUUUGGGAAUGAUCAUUAGCCCUUCAUUUUGGACUCAAUUAAGUGAUCGAUAUGGCCGUAAAUCG